UGAUGCUUAAAGCUGCCAAUAGCUUCAUUAUCCACCCCAAUGUCCCAGUGACAAGUGCAGUGGGAUGAUCUAGGGCAGUCCUAGGACAGCCUGAUUUCCAGUGCCCUUUAACACACGCGGAGCAGCCCAGAACGAGUCCUGAAUGGUGCUCUUUCCUCUAAACUUGGAAUGAAGCCAAAGGACCUCUUAGAUAUUCAACAUUUCCCCAUUCCCUGCCCCAGUAUCUCUGGCUCUAACCUGGGCCUGGGUGCUACCCAGAUGUGCCUUAGCUAAAGUGAUGAAUAGCAGGGUAGCAGAGUUCAAGCUCUGGUGCAUCCAAAUUGUCUAAUGGAGCCCUAGGUAACUAUUUAAAGAGAAGUUAUUUUUUAAAAAGGCAACAUAUUCUCACAAUGCCUAUUUUUCAGAUAGUAGAGCAAAUGUAUCAAAAUACACAACCUUUUGAUUCCUACUAUCUUAAGCUGUAGGGUCUUCACAGUGUCUGGGGCCAGCAGGAAAUGUUCUAGAAAGUGUCAAACAUGAAGGGUUUGGAAAUUCAUAAUCAAAUGAUGACUAUGCUCUGUGAAGUUUCCAACCCUGUUGCAUUUCCUCAUUUGAGCAGUGGGUGAAGGCGAAGGGCAAAAUACUCCAAGGGUUUGUUUCUGUGACAAAGAAACUUCAGUGUCGGUACCAGUAGGUGUGGGAAGAGAAUGUAGAAAAUGACAUAAGGCAGUAGAUAUGUAAAUAAAUCACUAAAAUAAGUAGUUGUUAUGAAAAGAGAGUUGAGAGUUGAAAUGAACAGGAAUCUCAAAAACUGAUUAGAACCUAACGAUAGGAGUGUUCAAGUUGUUUUUCCUAGAUCAGAGACUCACAAGGGCCUCAUUCAGGUAACACAAGUAACUGGCAAUCAAUCUUGGGCAUUUUGCCACCUCUCAAAAAGUCAGGAAAGGUGUGAAUGAGCAUUUAUACUUAGAGAGAGGAAAACAAGCAUUUCCCUCCAAGCAGAGCCAUCAUGUUUUCAGCCACCAUCAAGUUUUUCCCGAAAACAAAGGCAAACCAAUCUUCCCUUCUAUAAGC
rnacentral:lncRNA from 1 species